AAAAAUACACAAGUAUCACCCCCAUGAUACUUUUACAAGUAUUCUAGCCCUACUAUAUAUAUAUAUAUAUAUAUAUAUAUAUAUAUAUAUAUAUAUAUAUAUAUAUAUAUAUAUAUAUAUUUUUUUUUUUUUUUUUAUGAGGAAUUGAGCUAGAAUAUUUUUAGAAGUAUCACUCUCUUGGUGCUAUUAGGUUUUAGUCCUUUGAUCUACUCAUUGAUUACUAAUAGUUCUUGGAUCAAAUACUAUUUCACCUAUCAGCACCUACUACCAUCAUCUCAAUCAUACAUUUUUCCAUCCAAGAAUUAAAAAUUUAACAGCACUAAUUUUUUGGUGCUUUUGAGAGUAUUCUAGCUCAACUUUAUAUUGAGCCAUUCCAACUGAC
rnacentral:lncRNA from 1 species